AGACAGUAAGACAGAUCCUAAUGUCAAAGCCACAACAUGAACAGCUAUACAUCAUGGACAAAGAAUAACUAAAGGCUCUUUAGAAAGGAGGAUUCUAAGAAUGAGAUCCAUCGGUAACCUGGAUCCUGUACACCGAAAGUAUGAAGCAGCAUAAUCUAAUUACAAAGAGUGGUAGGUGAAGAAACACAAGAUAUGCAACUACUAAGGAGGCUAAUGAAAUCCAUGAACAGAAGGUACAUAUGAAAGCCAUUGCUUCUGAGUAAGGGCAAAUGCCCCAUUUAUGAUAUCAUUUCUUGGCAGAGGCCUGAGUCAUUGAUGAGUUGCAGGCUGUAGAUACAUUGCUACAGUAUUCAACCCAUAAAUGUUCAUCCUGUUUGAUUGUGGGGCAUAUUAAAUAAUGUGAAAGAGAUAAAGAAGAGACUGAAGCCAUGCUAUCUUUCAUUGAUGAACUAUUUACUUCGUUUUAGCUACCACCUCCUUUACCCAUAAUUUGGAAAUAAAAAUAAAAAUUAAAUAUAGUUUUGUAAGUAGAAUAUGAAGUUUUUUAUUGGCUACUCAGCUGUAAAAAUGUUGGAAGAGCACGUAGUUCUUGUGGUUGAUAGCUCCUACAAUCAAAUAUGUGUAUGUUGGUACACUAUUGUUUUGUAAUUUUUGUUAAUACUAGUAUUUUAUUUUGAGUAA